GGCUCGGACCGGACACUUGAAGUCCGGGGAAGCGAGCGAGGCAGCAAGGGAGGCAACGAGUGAGCGAGAGCAGCCGGCAGCUAGGAAGGCGCCACGGAGCGGGCGCGCCAGGAGGGACGCGGGAAUCGCAGAGACCCCGGCGCCUGCUGGGUCCGCAGGCAGAGUUUGCACGUGGCCGAGACCCCUCAGAAGCCUGCACGUAGGACAGCUGCUGAACAAACUCACAGAGACUAAGAGCUGGGGGCUGCUCUCCGCUCACCUAAGGCACCACCGUCUCUGCUUCUAGGAUCCUAGUGUGGACGAGACAGAGUGGGGAUCUGGUCAUCCUUCUCAUUUUCCAGAAGGUGAGUGGAGUGUUUACCAGGCUCGUUGACAUUAUGGGACAAUAUUAACUCCAACAGCUGUAACUUGUUGAGCACUCUGUAUUCCAGGCUCUUUUCGUGGAUUAGCUCCUUAAACCCCAAAGGCCCCAUCCUACACACGAGGAAAUUGAGUCUCAGAGAGAUGAUGUGACUCGCCCAGAGCCACACAGCACAGAAGUGGACAAGCUGUGAUUUGAACCUAGCUUCCCGGAUUCCAAAUGUCAGAGACGUGACCGCCACACUGUCCCACUGCCCAAGGCAGGUGCUAAUCACUGAGCUCCUACUGUGUGCUGCGCCCUGGGAGAGGCUGGGAGAUACACAGAGGAUAAGACAGACCAUUCUUUGGUGGUUUGUCGUGUGUCCUCUCCCCUGGGAACCUGAGGAUAGAGCCACGUGUCCCCAGCAUCCAGCACAGAGCUUGGAACACAGUAGGGCCUCCGUGAAUGUUGGCUGAAGAAAUGAAUGAACUGCUGCAGGUUAUAGGAGAAUGAGCUCUUCAGUCUUCUGAUUUUUCAGUCCAUAAAAGUGAAGAGGACAGAGGAUGUCCUGUGACCUCACAUUUGUCCCAGCAAGGCGUCCAUCAAGGGUCUGCAUCUUUGGGUCUGUGGCUCACCCACACUGGGCCAUCCAGGGAUCUCGUGUGGUUCUGCAGGGCUGCAGUUCUGUGGAUUGGUGGCUGAGGGGUCGUCUUUUCCAGGGCAUCUGCUUGGGGAUGUGCUUCUUCAUGUUCACAUUCUUCUUAGUUUCUCUGGGGUGUUUCCCUUGACGCUGUGUCCCAGCACCUGGAACCCAGCCUGGUGGAGGCUCCGCACAGAGACCGACCGGACCCUGACCCAGGCCUGGGCUCUUGCCGGGUGGAUGUCCUUGCACAGCCACAGCCCUUCUUUAAGCCUCAGCGUCCUCAUCAGCUCAGUGGGGACAAUAAUUUAUCCACUUCAGAGGAUCAGGAGGAUUUCACAAGUUAACACCUAACAGCACAGGGCCUGGCCCAGGAAAAGGUGUUCAGUAACGCACAGGUACUGUUAUUAUUUCCACCACCAAUGCUAUGAUUAUUAACAUAUCUCACAAAGCACAUUAAAGCAACACAUAAAAAGAAAUAACUAACCAAGCUGGGAAAUCAGGAAAAGCUUCUGGGGAAAGGUGAUGUUGGAAGGGGAUCUUUAAACACAUGACAUGAGGGGCCGGUUCAGUGGCUCAAGUGGUUAGGUGCAUGGGCUCUGCUGCAGCGGCCCGGGGUUCGCCGGUUCGGAUCCCGGGCGUGCGCUGACGCACCGCUUGUCAAGCCAUGCCGUGGCGGCGUCCCAUAUAAAGUGGAGGAAGAUGGGCACGGAUGUUAGCCCAGGGCCAGUCUUCCUCAGCAAAAAAGAGGAGGAUUGGCAGAUGUUAACACAGGGCUGAGCUCCUCACAAAAACAAAAAAAAACACGUCACAUGAGUACUAAAAAUUCUCUGCAGAAAAAUCACAACAUAGAGAUCAGCCUGAAGGAGAAAAAUUCAGGAGACAGAAGCCACAAGGUGUUUUAAACAGGGCAGGUUUACUCUAAAGCAUGGGCCAGCUCUGGUGGGAGAGCAACUCCCAGAUGGAAGAACUCUAAAGGGUGCCUGGGCUUGGGGGGGACACAGGAGGGAAGCACUUGUAGGAGACCCUCCCGAAGGACAGGCUUCAGCCCUCCCAGGAGACGGUGUGUUGCCCCCUGGCUGAGGAUCCCACAUCUGGGCCAGAGAAGUUUUCAUGCCAGAUCCAGGACUCCAUGCAGCUGAGGGAAUGAACACCAGGAGCAAGCCGACCUCAGAGGACCAAACCUCAGGUGUCUUGGGGAGCCCUGUGUCCUGUGCACUUGUCUGUCACCCGCGAGCCUUCCUGAUUCCUCAGCCCUCUAAAACCAGACGAUCGAAAGUGCCUCUUCUUGCCUCCUCCUCAUCUCGCCUUCUUUUUCUCUCAGAAUAAAAUAAACUGAGGAAAAAAAUAAGAGACUUUUCUUU